UGGUGGCUUGAUCCCACCUCCCGCCCCUGGGGGAGCAGUGCAGUGGCCCCUGUGAGGUCCUGGCAGAGGACUGUGUGUCUCCUCUGCCCACUGAGCACCGGCUGCUGUCACAUCCAGCAGGACCUGAGUCUCGUGCAGCCUCACCUUGAGGCCUCUGUCUUUUCCCGAAGUCCCAUAGAUUACAUCUCCUUAUCCGCUGUGAGGAUUUCUCCUUGUUCUGGUCUGGUUUCUAAAGAACAAUUCUCUGUGCUUAUGCAACUUCUGUUUCUGGGGGCAGAGCUUGCUGCAAAAGGCAAAGAACCCGGUCCAUUUACCCUGGGCCUGGACCAAGAAUUAACCUGGUGCAGUGUGCUGGUCCAUGAGCUUCCAGCUCAGCCCUCUGGAGACCUAGCUCCAGGGCUUGGCCUGUACCGCACUGCCCCCAGCAACUGAAUACGUGACUGAAUCAGUGAGCACGUGGAUACAUGACAGCCAGAUGGGUGAGUGGAUGAAAGGAGUGUUCAGCACUUUGCAGCAGAGAGGGCUCAGCAAACCAGAGCUCCUGCUUGCCCAAAGAGCACGCUGCCGUCCACGCACAGAGCUCUGGCCGGCUGGGUUCAUCGUCCUGGGGGUGAGCUCUCCCUCCAUUUAGGCUCUGUGCCCAGCCUGCCUGGAAAGAUUUUCCUCUGUUAUUUCCCUCUCUCUGUCCCCACCUUUGUCCCCAGGGUCCCUCCCUGCAGUGAGCUGUGAGAGCAGGAGCCCCUGUCAGCCAUGGUUCAUGUGGAUGCCUGGCUCUGGCUCCAGGUCUGGCUCCGGCUUCAGCCUGUGAUUUUUGUGGCAGUGCCUCUUCAGCAGCUUUAAGUG
rnacentral:lncRNA from 1 species